rnacentral:rRNA from 1 species
CCUACGGGAGGCAGCAGUGGGGGAUAUUGCACAAUGGGGGAAACCCUGAUGCAGCGACGCCGCGUGGGUGAAGAAGUAUUUCGGUAUGUAAAGCCCUAUCAGCAGGGAAGAAAGAAGACGGUACCUGACUAAGAAGCCCCGGCUAACUACGGGCCAGCAGCCGCGGUAAUACGUAGGGGGUGAGCGUUAUCCGGAUUCACUGGGUGUAAAGGGAGCGUAGACGGCCGUGCAAGCCAGGAGUGAAAGCCCGGGGCCCAACCCCGGGACUGCUCUUGGAACUGUGCGGCUGGAGUGCGGGAGGGGCAGGAGGAAUUCCUGGUGUAGCGGUGAAAUGCGUAGAUAUCAGGAGGAACACCGGCGGCGAAGGCGGCCUGCUGGACCGCGACUGACGUUGAGGCUCGAAAGCGUGGGGAGCGAACAGGAUUAGAUACCCCUGUAGUC